rnacentral:rRNA from 1 species
UGGGGAAUAUUGCACAAUGGGCGAAAGCCUGAUGCAGCAACGCCGCGUGAGUGAUGAAGGCCUUCGGGUUGUAAAGCUCUGACUUCUGGGACGAUAAUGACGGUACCAGAGGAGGAAGCCACGGCUAACUACGUGCCAGCAGCCGCGGUAAUACGUAGGUGGCAAGCGUUGUCCGGAUUUACUGGGCGUAAAGGAUGCGUAGGCGGAUACUUAAGUCAGAUGUGAAAAUCCCGGGCUUAACUUGGGAACUGCAUUUGAAACUGGGUAUCUAGAGUGCGGGAGAGGACAGUGGAAUUCCUAGUGUAGCGGUGAAAUGCGUAGAGAUUAGGAAGAACACCAGUGGCGAAGGCGACUUUCUGGACCGUAACUGACGCUGAGGCAUGAAAGCGUGGGGAGCAAACA